UUCAGAUCAUAACUGCAUCAAUUAAAGGUUUCGUACUUCACCAAGACUUAGGUUCACGCAUCCCUGGCACAGAGUUUUGUGGGCCAAAGGAUGACAUAGGGCCUCUGUUUUUACUCUUCUGAGUGGUAUAUUCAGAGCCAGCAAGGAUGUUGUAUUUCAUUCAAUCCUCGCAAAGUGGAAACUCGAUAUCCAAUGUACACACAAACACACACGCACUGUCCUGCUUCUGGCAGUGUGUUUUACUACACUGUAGAAUUAUACGUGGCACACUGCACGGUCACUUAAGAGCUCAUACCAAAACGUCCCUAUAAGAGUCUUGUCUCAUACAAGAGACCGUUGUGUUCUGGCAUUCAUAAAUUCGCUUAAGAAAUGUGGUGAGUGAGGUGGUCUCACUCAAGUGAUCUCAGUACCUUCCUGGGCUGCCGCCUGGGCCUCUAGACACUCCACAUACAAGUCCUGUUCAUGCCACUUGGCUGCUAGCUCAUCCUUUGUCAUGCUGUCCAAUUGUUGCUGUGUUAGCUUCAUACGCCUUGGUUGUCUAGGAGAAUGAGGACUGCUUGGUUUUCCUCCCAUACUAUUAUUCAGUGGACUUCUUGGUGAAGAUGGACCAGCAGACUUAACAUCGUUGCACUCUUCUGCCAUUUUAUAUUAGAAGUUAUUAAAAC
rnacentral:misc_RNA from 1 species